UUAUUUUUUAUUUUUAAUUGUAUAAUCCAAAUUCCAACCACACACACACACAGAAAAAAACCAGCUUCGAUUCAGGGAUUUUACAUACUAGGGUUUCUCGAUCAGAAAUUUGAUUUCAAUUUUAUUCGAAAAAUGGAGGCGCAGUACAUCAGCAAAUACCACGAGCAUCAGCUGAGUGAGCAUCAGUGCUCGUCUUUUGUUGUGAAGCACAUCAAAGCUCCUGUUGACAUUGUUUGGUCAUUGGUCAGAAGAUUCGAUCAGCCACAAAGUUACAGCCCUUUGUUAGUCGGUGCACUGUGCAGGGCGGUGAUCUCCAAAUCGGUAGCGUUAGACAAGUUAAUAUCAAGUCUGGACUCCCCGCCACCACCAGCACCGAGCGUUUGGAACUUCUCGAUGACCAAAAACACAUUCUCGGUGUCAAAUUUGUCGGUGGUGAUCACAGACUAAAGAAUUACUCGUCGAUAAUUACGGUUCAUCCAGAGAUAAUGGAGGGUAGGCAAGGGACAGUUGUGAUAGAAUCGUUUGUGGUGGAUGCGCCUGAAGGGAACACUAAAGACGACACUUGCUACUUUGUGAGGGCUCUGAUCAGCUGCAACCUCAACUCCUUGGCUGACGUGUCCGAACGAAUGAUGGCUAUGCGGGGCCAGUUUGACCAGGUCAACCGACUACGUUCGGUUGAAAGUAUAUGAUAACCGUAUUAAUUAUAUCUAUGUUAAAUCGUCACAUAAGCCGUACUCUAUUUAGGCUUUCGGUUUCUGUACUAGAUUUAGAGGAACAUCCUUGUACUUUCGGUUUUUUCUUUAUGUUGGAUGGUGUUGAUUGUAACUAUGUUGGGCUGUAUGUAAAUAUUCCUUUGUGAAAACUGAAUUUCGGUCUCUGUUUCCAAUGUAUCA